AGCCAGAAGGUUCUGACUGAGAGGCAGUUAUCUCUCUCAAUCUUUAGAAGCCUAGGAGGAAGGGAGGUCUGGUCAAAACUUUCUCCUGAGGAGAUAUUCACCUUUUUCCUCUCCUGGAGACAGGACAUCCUCCCCCUCCACCAAUUCCCAACUGAAGUGAUAGCUGAAGAAGACAUUGAGCCUCUGUUAAACUUACCUCACAGCUCCUGGUGCCUUGGAUCUGAACUGUGCCAGUUGGGUCAAGACCAGGGCAAGAAUUUGGGGUCUAUUGAUCAAAGCAGCAAGUCCUUUAUUAUCAUAAAUUCACAUUUAUUUACAACAUAUAACAGGAAAAAAGAAAAGCUAAAAGGACAAGAAGGAAAGGUGGAGAAAAAAAGGAGAAAAUACAAAGCAUGAUUUCCUAAAUCAAGAAUGAAAGGAAGCAUACCAAAUGUUGAUGAUGCGAAAAAAAAGCAAAAAUAGUCUCUCCGCCUAAGGAUCUUAUUUCUGAUGCAAGAAGAGGACACAUGAAAGGAGCUGAAAAGCAUGCAUGUGGAAAGAGGGAGUAGAAUAGAUGGCGGCAACUACAACAUCUGGGAAUUAAUAAUAUCCAGAAGGAAUGAAGAAUGAUGAGCACUGUCUUGUCUUCAAAAUGGAUUUUCGAGGAGGAUGUCAUCAGUGGGAGAAGGAAAUCAACAAAUUGUCCAGUGACAUUCCAAGUGUAUUAAAGCUUGGAGGUGGAGUCAAGAUGGUGGCAUAAAGGCAGCAAGGGUUCAGACCUCUGAAAUCCCUUCCUUACUGAUUACAAACUCAAUGCUCCUAGGGAACUGAAAAUCAAACCUGACAACAAAACAGAGGCAAGGAACCCUCCUGCUGGAUUCAAUUUAAACGGUAUGCCCCACAAAAGCCAGAAUUCAAGAAUACAUGGAUUUAAGGGGAAGAAAAAGGAAGGUCCCAGGACCCCCCUUACCCCUCCCCACUUAGAGCCCUUAGCCUCCAGCAGCAGCUGGAAUCUCUGGGAGGGCAAAGGAGGUGGUCUAGAAGGAGUACCUUGCAGCAAACCUGUGCCAAAUUCACAGCGUCCAACACAGGUGGUGGGGAAGAAGAUAGAGAAGGAGCACAGAGUGGGCAGCCUAGUUGGAGCAGUGAAGACCCUCCAUAUUGCUACCCCCUUCCAGGAGGUUUUGGCCUCAGGGCACAUACAGCCCAACCAAGUUGGAAUUAAUCCCAUCAAAAGUCUUCAGAGGGCACUGAAGCUCAAUUACAACACCCCUCCCACAUAGACUGCUAGACUUUAAUGCAAUCAAAGCCUCAAAAGGGCAGGGAAGCAAAAGCUCCAAUACCCUUACCCUAUAGACUUCACUGAGAGACUUGCUGACAAAACUCCAAGAGGAAAGACUGACAGAAAAUCCCAACCCCCCCCAAAAAAAAUAAAAGAGAGGAGAAAGAGUACAGACAACUGUAGGGAGUAAAGAAGUGGUAAAUAUGAGCAAACACUAGAAAAAGAAAAAAAAACAAAAGAAAUUACAAUCAACAGCUUCUAUACAAACAAUGAACAAAGAGCAAAGUGAACAGAGGAGGAGGGAACACCAAGCAAUAAAACAGAAAAACCAGUGAAUUGGACACAGGCUUUGGAAGAACUCAAAAUAUAAUUCAAAACACAAUUAAGAGAGGCUGAAGACAAUUGGGAAAAGAACUUAAAAACUAAGAUAAGUCAAUUGGAAACAGAGGCACUUGAACUAAAACAAGUCAAAGCCAAAAUCAACCAGUUUGAAAAUGAAGCAAAAGAGAUGAAAGAUGAGGCACAGAGAAUGAAAAAUGACCUCCAAAGAAAAUCAAACCAGAAGGAGAAGGAUGACCAAAAAGCCAGGGAUGAAAUCCAGUCUUUAAGAACCAGAAUAUAACAACUAGAAUCAAGUGACUUCACAAGGCAGCAGGAACCUAUAAAACAAAAUCGAAAGAAUGAAAAACUUGGGGAAAAUAUUAAGCAUGUCAUUCACAAAACAGAAGAAUUAGAAAAUAGUUCCAGGAGAGACAACUUAAGAAUCAUUAGUCUACCAGAAGACCAUGACAAAAGUAAAAGCCUGGAUAUAGAUAUAGAUAUAGAUAUAGAUAUAUAGAUAUAGAUAUUGAUAUAUUGAUAUAGAUAAAUAGAUAGAUAGAUAAAUGUAUGCAUAAAUACAUAUAUGUGUAUAUAUACAUAUAUAUACAGCUAGAGCUAAAAAAAAGGUUAAUACUAAAAGAAAUGGGAAAAGAAACUGAAGGGGGUAAGUUUAUAUGUCACAAAGAAGCACAUCAUGGGAGGGGGGAGAACAUCAAUACACUGAAUGGGUAAAGAGGUUGGAGGUAGGAAAUACUCAACUUGAACAUGCAUUGAAAUUGACACAAAGAGGGAAGAACAAUCCAAUCCAUUGGGACCAUAUAGGGAAUUAGAAGGGUAACAAAUGGACUGGUG